rnacentral:ncRNA from 1 species
CAGACAAUUAGAGAUCCAGGUGCCCGCUUCGGCGGGAGAAUAGGGAAGAGGGUGAGAACCCCUCGCUGCCCCGCAACUGUGUGUGGUGACGAAAACCGGAGUUCAUGCCACUGUCCCGUCAGGGAUGGGAAGGCCCGGUUAAGUAGGACGAACCACGAGUCAGGAGACCUGCCCGGAUUUUAUUUGCCAG